GAUAAUGAAGUAAAAAUUACAAUUAGUUUCGACCUAAUAUUAAGGAGUUAACCUCUUAUCU
rnacentral:tRNA from 1 species